UACGAAGGGGGCUAGCGUGGCUCGGAAUCACUGGGCGUAAAGGGUGCGUAGGCGGGGCUUUAAGUCAGGGGUGAAAUCCUGGAGCUCAACUCCAGAACUGCCUUUGAUACUGAGGAUCUUGAGUUCGGGAGAGGUGAGUGGAACUGCGAGUGUAGAGGUGAAAUUCGUAGGUAUUCGCAAGAACACCAGUGGCGAAGGCGGCUCACUGGUCCGAUACUGACGCUGAGGCACGAAAGCGUGGGGAGCAAACAGG
rnacentral:rRNA from 1 species